UACAGAGGUCCCGAGCGUUGUUCGGAUUCACUGGGCGUAAAGGGUGCGUAGGUGGUGAGGUAAGUCGGAUGUGAAAUCUCCGGGCUCAACCCGGAAAUGGCAUUGGAAACUACCUUGCUUGAGGUUUUGAGGGGGGACUGGAAUGCUUGGUGUAGCAGUGAAAUGCGUAGAUAUCAAGCGGAACACCGGUGGCGAAGGCGAGUCCCUGGAAAACACCUGACACUGAGGCACGAAAGCUAGGGGAGCAAACAGG
rnacentral:rRNA from 1 species